rnacentral:rRNA from 1 species
AUUGAACGCUGGCGGCAGGCCUAACACAUGCAAGUCGAGCGAGCGGCGGACGGGUGAGUAAUGUAUGGGGAUCUGCCUGAUAGAGGGGGAUAACUACUGGAAACGGUAGCUAAUACCGCAUACUAUCGGAUGAACCCAUAUGGGAUUAGCUAGUAGGUGGGGUAACGGCUCACCAAGGCGACGAUCUCUAGCUGGUCUGAGAGGAUGAUCAGCCCCACUGGAACUGAGACACGGUCCAGACUCCUACGGGAGGCAGCAGUGGGGAAUAUUGCACAAUGGGCGCAAGCCUUAUACAGCCAUGCCGCGUGUAUGAAGAAGGCCUUCGGGUUGUAAAGUACUUUCAGCGGGGAGGCGUUACCCGCAGAAGAAGCACCGGCUAACUCCGUGCCAGCAGCCGCGGUAAUUC